rnacentral:rRNA from 1 species
UAGGGAAUCUUCGGCAAUGGACGGAAGUCUGACCGAGCAACGCCGCGUGAGUGAAGAAGGUUUUCGGAUCGUAAAGCCCUGUUGUUAGAGAAGAACGUUGGUAGGAGUGGAAAAUCUACCAAGUGACGGUAACUAACCAGAAAGGGACGGCUAACUACGUGCCAGCAGCCGCGGUAAUACGUAGGUCCCGAGCGUUGUCCGGAUUUAUUGGGCGUAAAGCGAGCGCAGGCGGUUCUUUAAGUCUGAAGUUAAAGGCAGUGGCUUAACCAUUGUACGCUUUGGAAACUGGAGGACUUGAGUGCAGGAGGGGGGAGUGGAAUUCCAUGUGUAGCGGUGAAAUGCGUAGAUAUAUGGAGGAACACCGGUGGCGAAAGCGGCUCUCUGGUCUGUAACUGACGCUGAGGCUCGAAAGCGUGGGGAGCAAACAGG